rnacentral:ncRNA from 1 species
UGUAUAUUAAAAGCGCCAGAACUUGACUAGCGCGGGAUGUAAGAUGGACCGAGGGUAUGGAUGAGUACGAUCCGUUUCGGUGCCUGAUUACAACGGCAGAUCAAGUUGACGAGGUGGGGGUGUUCGAAAUGUUCGGCGGGGACCUCCCGGUGAUGCACCAGAGCCGUGAAUCAUAUACGGAAAAUAAGCGGGCGACUGCUCAUACAACGUAGUGAUGGGUGCUAAUUA